rnacentral:lncRNA from 1 species
UGGGGCAGAUGGUGACCGUGACCCAGUGAUACCACUCUCCAGUGGGCAGCCUGGUCUGCAGAGGGGGAGAUCCCUGGGGCAGCCCUACCUCAGCAUGGGUGAGUUUCUGUUGCAAUUCUAUGUCCAGUGUAAAUAAACUGUGGAAAACUGGGAGAUGGUACAAGAAAGCAAGGAUGCCAACUAAAUGAAUAGAAAGAUCUACAAGGGAAGGCUGAGAUCAGCUGAAAUAGGAUUGGGAAAGUAAAGGCCUGGCUGGAACUUCGUAAUGGCUUUUGAGGCUCGGGAACAGGGACAGUAGCUGCCCUGUCCAUCCCAGGAGAGAACAGACGGACAUGGCUGGAAAGCACUUCCCUGACUAAAAGUGUCUUUAAAAAGGGAGAUCUCAGAAUCUCCUUCCCUGGAAUGCUUUAACCCUUCAUGGAACACAGCAGAAAUUCCACAGCCCUGCAUCCCAGGAAGCAGGGACAGGACAGCAGCUUCCAGCACACAGAAGCAUUUAGAGGCAUAAGUAGCUACGCAAAGACAGCAGGAGCCGUGCCUCGAAAAGGCUGAGAUGUCUGAGAAAUAAAGUUGUACGCGGAUUUACGCCUGGGCAGGUUGAAAUGCGUGUGCCAUGACAGAUCCGGAAGCUUGUCUACUCGAAGGUCCACAUCCAGACGCCGAAGUCUUUGCCGUGGCACUUAUGGGGUGCUCUAACUUCUCAGCGCUGGCCGUCACCAACGCAGGCCGGCAGCACCCUGGAAAGGCCCAGGUCCCGCAGCUCUCCCUCCACGCGUGGCUACGGUGGAGGAACGAAGAGCAGCUCACCUACCGGGAAAGCGAGAAGAAAGCAAAGGGCAUCACUCCCUACCCACGAAAGACUCACAACAUCCCUGGAAAAGCAACGAGGCGAACGGCUGGUCUGCGUUCAGAGCUGGUGAGGAGCAGGGAGAAGAAUCCAGAGCGUCCCCGCCUCCCUCCCUCACCGCCCUCCCGCACUGAUGUGAACACGGGAGUAACACCGCGCGUGGGGAAUCCACUGGCACCCAGAGCCCGGCCCGCGGCAGCAGAAUCACCCAAGACUGAGAUCCUGUGGCCUGAGUCGGGGCCGGGGAAACCAAGCCUGCAGGACUCCGGGAGCAGCCGGUUUCUGCACACAGGUAACAUAGAACUGGGGGUAAGCAAAGCCACGAGGUCGGCCCGUGGCCUGUCUGCCCGUGGCCUGUCUGCCCGUGGCCUGUCUGCCCGUGGCCUGUCUGCGCACAGCUAUUAAAAGUUCAAUAAACGUGGUGGCAGCAGCUGAACUGGCUACCACAGGACGCAGCUGGGGUCUGGACGUGGGCCUGGGGGCUGGUGGAAGGCACGUGUGUUGAGGCGUGUACUCAGGGCCUGCCUACUUCCCCAGGCCUACGGGGACAGAUGUAGCUCCCCAGGAAAUACCACAGGCAGACCCCGGCCGGCAAGCUGCCCCAAGAAGCAGUGCGCCUCCCAAAAUCAGAAGCAGCUAAGCUGACCCCCACCUCAUGUGAAAGAGCCAGGCACCAGGGAGAGGGCACCCACCCAGUCUCCUAAUCAUAACAGACAUUCACAGCAACACCACGAAAAAGAAACUACUGCUCUGACCUGGAAAAAUGAAAUUUAAAACAGAAAACACACAGGUUGUAACUAAAAGGCAGACGGACCAGGUGCGGUGGUUCAUGCCUGUAAUCCCAACACCUUGGAAGGCCGAGGCAGGCGGAUGACAUGAGGUCAGGAGUUCAAGACCAGCCUGGCCAGCAUGGUGAAACCCCAUCCCUACUAAUAAUACAAAAACUAGCCAGACGUGGUGGCAGGCACCUGUAAUCCCAGCUACUCAGGACUGGGAGGAGGCGCAGGAUGACGACGAGAGAGAGACGAGAGAGGCAGAUGGCCCACGGCAGGCUGAGCACAGGACCUGGCUGAGGCCUCCUGGGGAGGGGCAGAGGCAAACAUGCUGCUGCUUCUAGGCUACUCGGGAGGACGCACGCUCAGAAGGGGCUGCACGGCAGGACUUGCUGAGGAGCAGUCACGUGGAUGCCCCCGCCUCUCACAACGCACACACUGACAACAUGCAACUCACAUACAACACAACAUGCAUGUACAAUGUACUCAUACAACAUAUACAACACUGACAACACACAACACACACAACACAUGCAACCUAUACAACACAUACCCAAUAUAUGCUACUCACAACACAAUAUGCAUUUAUAACACACUCAUACAACACAUACCCAAUGCAUGCAACUCACAACACAACACGUACGUACAACACAUACACACAUACAGCACACGUAACACAUACAACACAACACACAUGUACAAUGCACUCAUACAGCACACACAACUCAUAACAUGCACAUACAACACACAACACUCAUACAAAACAACAUACACAACUCACAACAUGCACAUACAAUGCACUCAUACAACACAACACAUACAACAUACAUGCAACUCACAACAUACACAUACAACACACUCAUACAGCACAUGUACAACACAUGCAACUCACAUUCAACACGACAUACACGUACCACACACAACACACGCAACUCACAACACAACAUGCAUGUACAACACUCAUACAACACAACACUCAUACAACAUACAGACAACACAUGCAACUCACAACACAACAUACACAUACAACACACUCAUACAACACACACAACACAUGCAACUCACGCACAACACAACAUGCACAACACAACAUACAACAUAUACAACACAACACUCAUACAACAUAUAUGUGUAUUGCAUACACAUAAUACAUGCAACUCACAACACAACAUACACAUACAACACACUCAUACAACACAUGCAACUCACAACACAAUAUGCACGUACAACACACUCAUACAACAUACAACAUAUAACACAUACAACAUACAACACAUGCAACUCAACACAAAUACAUGUACAAGGCACUCACACAACACACAACACUGAUACAACAUACAACACAUGGAACUCACAAACACGUACAGCACACUCAUACAACAUACAACCCAUACAACAUACAAUACAUGCAACUCAUACAACAUACACAUACAACACUCAUACAACACACAUUCAUACAACACAACACUCAUACAACAUACAAAACAUACAACUCACAAAUACAUGUACAACACACUCAUACAACACAUAACACUCAAACAUACAAUGAAUGCAACUCAACACAACAUGCACAUACAACACACAUACAACCCAUGCCACUCACAUACAACACAACACGCUCAUACAACACAUUCAUACAACACAUACUGUACAGAUUCUAAGUAUGAAAUAGAAAACAGCACAUGCACAGUUUCUAAAGUAUGACAAAAGCUUUUUUCAAGAAGGUCAUCCAACAUCCAAACUGGUAACAUGUCCUCAUUUUCAGCUGCUGUUCAGAUUCAAGCAUGUUUAUCAUCUGCUCCAUGAAUUACAAUAAUAUAGCAUAAACCCUUUUUUCAUUUUACACCCACUUUGGUGUGGGGUGCUCCAAAACAGGGGCCAGGAGCCUCAGUCAUCCCUCGGAACAAAACACAACUCACACUCAGAGGCCAGGAAGGGAACUCGGGGGGCGACACACACUCUCUCAUCUGCAGAGCUCUGCUUCAAUUACUUUACAUGUAACCGCGGCUGGAACGGGGUUGGUGACGGUACAGACACGGCAAACUGAGGAGAAAUUGGCAGGUGGAGAAAGAUCAGCCAGAAUCCAAGGAAAAAUGCUGAGCAUUUUCCACAAAUAGUUCACACAACGGACAAUAGUUGGGCUACUGAAAGUUUAUUGAGAGGGGUCUUGCUCCAAAGAAAAAGUUCUUUCCCAAGGUUAUCAAAGACUCACAGCAGACCCCGGCCCCCAACACACCAUCUGCAGAGGGCCUGUUAGUCAAAAAGAAGACAAGACAGAAGCAAGGGGGUGCGGGGGGAGGAGAGCAAGAGGGGACCGAGAACUCGGAACCAAGUGAUGGGCAGACACUGAAUGCCUGACUCCAGGGUUAUCGCCUCAGAAAACAAGUCCGUUUAAGCCCGUGGUAACAGUGUUAGCGCUUUCACUGAACCUGCACUCAACACUGGAGAACCUCCCUGCAUUAUGAAGAUGAGCCGAAAAAUAACAUUAAUUCACAAUGUAGAGUGAUGAUUCAGCCACAGAAAAUAAAAC